rnacentral:rRNA from 1 species
GCAGUCGAACGAGAACGGAUCUAGCUUGCUAGAUUGUCAGCUAAGUGCGCGCACGGGUGAGUAAUAUAUAGUUAAUCUGCCUCAAAGAACAGAAUAAUUGCUGGAAACGGCUUGUAAUGCUCUAUAUGCCUUUAUCACAUAAGUGAGCAAGGGAAAUGCUUUAGUGCUUUGAGAUGAGACUGUACAGUAUCAGAUAGUUGGUGGGGUAAUGGCCUACCAAGUCAAUGACGCUUAACUGGUUUGAGAGGAUGAUCAGUCACACUGGAACUGAGACACGGUCCAGACUCCUACGGGAGGCAGCAGUGGGGAAUAUUGCACAAUGGACGAAAGUCUGAUGCAGCAACGCCGCGUGGAGGAUGACACAUUUCGGUGCGUAAACUCCUUUUAUAUGAGAAGAUAAUGACGGUAUCAUAUGAAUAAGCACCGGCUAACUUCGUGCCAGCAGCCGCGGUAAUAUGAGGGGUGCAAGCGUUACUCGGAAUCACUGGGCGUAAAGAGAAUGUAGGCGGUUAAUUAAGUUAGAAGUGAAAUCCUAUGGCUCAACCAUAGAACUGCUUCUAAAACUGAUUAACUAGAAUAUGGGAGAGGUAGAUGGAAUUUCUGGUGUAGGGGUAAAAUCCGUAGAGAUCAGAAGGAAUACCGAUUGCGAAGGCGAUCUACUGGAACAUUAUUGACGCUCAGAUUCGAAAGCGUGGGGAGCAAACAGGAUUAGAUACCCUGGUAGUCCACGCCCUAAACGAUGCACACUAGUUGUUGCUAUACUAGAUAUAGCAGUAAUGCAGUUAACACAUUAAGUGUGCCGCCU